GGGUCUGUAGCUUAAUUGGGAAAGCAAGCAGAAAGAUGUCGGUACCGCUUCGCACCAAGCAAGCUACAAAUCCGACCAGAAUCCACCA
rnacentral:tRNA from 1 species